UUUGGACUUGGUUCGGGUGUGUGUUCUGUUCGAGUUGUUAGCUUUGGUCAUGGCGGGCACAAUCAUCAUUAUUGCCCUCAGCAGGUCAACAGUUCGGUUGAGUUCAUCUGGAACUCGUCCAAUCUGAAAAACAUCUACAAGAUGGACGGAGGCGUUGAUGGAAGCGAGUAGGAGUACUGCACCUCUGUUACAUAUUAUCACAAAUCUUCAGAUCCUCUAGCCUUUACAGGAAUGAUGUAACAGUGUUUGGUAUAUUUGAUUUAAUAAAACUCUGAUAUAAUGUGUGUGAUGGUGAUAUUGAUUACUGUCUUUCUGUUAAACCGAUACAGUUUUUACUUGUAAAUAAGUUUUGGAGUUUGCUUACUCAUGUUUUCAUGUGAUCACUAAUUUGAAAUCACGAUAAUAAAAUUAAACUGGAACCCAGA